UGCCAGCCGCCGCGGUAACACGGGGGGCGCAAGCGUUAUUCGGAAUUAUUGGGCGUAAAGGGCGCGUAGGCGGUCUUGUCAGUCAGGUGUGAAAGCCCCGGGCUCAACCUGGGAACUGCAUUCGAUACUGUCUGGCUAGAGUGUGAUAGAGGGAGGCGGAAUUCCGCAUGUAGCGGUGAAAUGCGUAGAGAUGCGGAGGAACACCAAUGGCGAAGGCAGCCUCCUGGACCAACACUGACGCUGAGGUGCGAAAGCGUGGGGAGCAAACAGGAUUAGAUA
rnacentral:rRNA from 1 species